AUUCCGUGAUGAGGGCAUCUUCGUAAUAGUUCUUAAACCUUUCCCAUGCCUCAUACAAUGACUCGUCAUCUAUUUUUUGGAAGGUAGUGAUCUCAUUCCACAAAUU
rfam:Gossypium raimondii Chr12_contig_565, whole genome shotgun sequence.